rnacentral:rRNA from 1 species
GAUGAACGCUGGCGGCGUGCCUAAUACAUGCAAGUCGAGCGAACGGACGAGAAGCUUGCUUCUCUGAUGUUAGCGGCGGACGGGUGAGUAACACGUGGAUAACCUACCUAUAAGACUGGGAUAACUUCGGGAAACCGGAGCUAAUACCGGAUAAUAUUUUGAACCGAAUGGUUCAAAAGUGAAAGACGGUCUUGCUGUCACUUAUAGAUGGAUCCGCGCUGCAUUAGCUAGUUGGUAAGGUAACGGCUUACCAAGGCAACGAUGCAUAGCCGACCUGAGAGGGGGUACGGCCACGGAGAACGGGACCGCGCACACGGAGCCCAAGGGAAGGACGAGAGAGGGAAGGGUGGCAAAGGGGGGAAAGCCUGAAAAAGGAACGGCGGGUGGAUGAAGAAAGUCCGCGGGUGGGAAAACUGUUUUAUGGGGGGAAAACAAUUGUGAAGGUAAAGAAGCACAUCUGAAGGGAACGUAAAAAGAAGACCAGGGCAAACAAGGG